ensembl:lncRNA
ACACUGUACAAAAACAGAGUGAGAAAGGAUAUUUAAGACAGAAGAUGAUGCACAAUGCAGAUUUUAAAACUACACUCUUUAUAAAUGGACAAUCAAUUAUUACCUUUCGGAAUAGUUUCCAAACCCAUGUACAGUACAAUUGGUAGUGUCCUCACCAUUAAUAUGUACAGAUGUGAAAUGCAACAUAAAUGUUUGAAACAUUUAAUAUCUGUACAGUGCCACUGCAAUGUUUGUAUAAUAUCAGCUUAUUUAUAUACUGUCUGUACUUGUAGGGUAAAAUUACUUUCUUCUUUCAGACAAAUCCAGUCAGCAUUAUAUAAAAAAUUAUCCUGGCUCUUCCUAGCGUUAGAAUGGGAGUUGGUGGGUGUUUUUGUUCAACAGCCUAAAAGACAUCAAAUAAAGCAUGCGCAUCCAUAAUAAAACAUGCCUCACAGGGCUCCAGGGGGUGAAUAAAGGCCUCAUGUAGCGAAUCCAUGCACUUUCGUAAGAAAAAUAUCCAUAUUUAAAAUGUUAUAAACAUUUUUAUCUCACUUCCGCUGACUGUCAUACCAGCACGCCGUUCCGGGCGGAUGACGUAGGACGUAAGCGUUGCGUAUGCGCCUGUGAGAUAUUCUAGUCUCGAGAGUUCGUUUACAGGAGUAAAGGAAGCAGAGUUUCCUUACUUUACCAAAGGAAAACCAGUAUCUUCCUGGCUUAUAUCGAAAUCCUCCUACAUUUUUCUUUAAAAAUCCUUGUUUUGUGCUGUUAAUUUGUGACCAGCGCUUUGUUUUGCUGUCUCUCCUCCGCGCUUCCGUGUUGUCACUUCUCACCGGUGCAUGCGCGAUGCGUACAUCCUACAGCAUCCACCCGGCGUCACAGCUUGCACAUGUGACAAUCAGCAGAAGUGAAAAAAAAAGUG